AUAUUGGUCAAUGGGCGAGAGCCUGAACCAGCCAAGUCGCGUGAAGGAUGACUGUCUUAUGGAUUGUAAACUUCUUUUAUACGGGAAUAACAAGAGUCACGUGUGGCUCCCUGCAUGUACCGUAUGAAUAAGCAUCGGCUAACUCCGUGCCAGCAGCCGCGGUAAUACGGAGGAUGCGAGCGUUAUCCGGAUUUAUUGGGUUUAAAGGGUGCGUAGGCGGCCUGUUAAGUCAGCGGUGAAAUCUAGGAGCUUAACUCCUAAAUUGCCAUUGAUACUGGCGGGCUUGAGUGUAGAUGAGGUAGGCGGAAUGCGUGGUGUAGCGGUGGAAUGCAUAGAUAUCACGCAGAACUCCGAUUGCGAAGGCAGCUUACUAAGGUACAACUGACGCUGAAGCACGAAAGCGUGGGUAUCAAACAGGAUUAGAUACCCUGGUAGUCCACGCAGUAAACGAUGAUAACUGGGCGUAUGCGAUAUACAGUAUGCUCCUAAGCGAAAGCGUUAAGUUAUCCACCUGGGGAGUACGCCGGCAACGGUGAAACUCAAAGGAAUUGACGGGGGCCCGCACAAGCGGAGGAACAUGUGGUUUAAUUCGAUGAUACGCGAGGAACCUUACCCGGGCUUGAAUUGCAGAGGAAGGAUUUAGAGAUAAUGACGCCCUUCGGGGUCUCUGUGAAGGUGCUGCAUGGUUGUCGUCAGCUCGUGCCGUGAGGUGUCGGCUUAAGUGCCAUAACGAGCGCAACCCCUGUCUACGGUUGCCAUCAGGUGAUGCUGGGAACUCCGUAGAGACUGCCGUCGUAAGGCGUGAGGAAGGUGGGGAUGACGUCAAAUCAGCACGGCCCUUACAUCCGGGGCGACACACGUGUUACAAUGGUAAGGACAAAGGGCAGCUACCUGGCGACAGGAUGCGAAUCUCUAAACCUUAUCACAGUUCGGAUCGGAGUCUGCAACUCGACUCCGUGAAGCUGGAUUCGCUAGUAAUCGCGCAUCAGCCAUGGCGCGGUGAAUACGUUCCCGGGCCUUGUACACACCGCCCGUCAAGCCAUGGGAGUCUGGAGUACCUAAAGUCCGUAACCGCAAGGGUCGGCCUAGGGUAAUACAGGUGACUGGGGCUAAGUCGUAACAAGGUAGCCGUACCGGAAGGUGCGGCUG
rnacentral:rRNA from 1 species